AAAUGUAGCCAGCAGCAGUGUCAAGACAGCUGACACUGUCUUCCAAGAGUGAAUGCAUUGGCCUUUGGAACUGCUGCUAAAGCCAUGUGUGGGGUGGCGAGCACAUCUUUAGGUGGCAGCAAGGCUAUAUCUGAUUGACACAGAUCUGAAGUCUCUAACACCAUAUUGCUGUUGUCCUGAAUUUUCUAACUUGGAGAAAUUUAAGGAUCUCCUGCAUUAUCUAGGCAGAGCAUAUGUUGAGGUUGUUUUGCCAGUUGUUAUCAGUGUUGAAGAACUGCUCCUGUAAGCAAACUGUUAAAAGCAUUACUACCCCAUAUGCAUCUGAUGUACACUGUGUUUUGGUGUUUGUGUUUUUAGUGAGAGUUCUAGCCAGUACUGUGCCUGAACUUGGGAGAGAAAGGGGCCUGUGGCUGAGGUUGGUGCGUGCUCUAUUUCUGUGUAUCGAAUGGACUACAAGGUUACUGAAACUGGGCUAAGGGAAAGUGUAUAGACAACUCAUUACACUGUAGACAGAUUUUAGAAAGCUACAGGAAGGCAAAUGGAUGUUUCUGCCUCAAUUUGGCAACCGAGAGAGUGAUGCAGAGCAGAGUCAUUGAAGUUGGCAUACCUGUCUUCUGCAGGCCAAUUCAAGUUUGAGGAGAGUGGGCUGCUUAAAAACAUGGUGCUCGUCCACAUGGAUUUGAGGAAGUUUAUGGUUGGGUUUCAAGCUUAGGGACAAGUUGUGGUUUUUAGAGGCAGUAACUCUAUGCCACCUUAUUGGCCACUGUUAAAAGUUUCACUUGGAUCCCUGCCCAGCC
rnacentral:lncRNA from 1 species